AUGGGCUGACAGCAACUUGGAGAGAUGUAUAGUCCUCUUAUGAGGCUAGUAAUGUUUGAGAUAGAUGUAUAUUUAUACAUAUAGACCCUAUACAAACAUAACACCAACUACGUUGGAUAAAAUUCUAGAUAGAAGACUGAUUGUGACAAUUUUCUAUCUACUUGUCUUGACCAAAUUACGUGCCAGCAGUCGCGGUAAUACGUAAAAGACUAGUGUUAUCCAUCUUUAAUAGGUUUAAAGGGUACCUAGACGGCAUUAUUAACCUUAAAUACGGAUAUAAUUUUUGCUAGAGUUUGAUAAGAGAAGGGGAGUAUUUACGGAGUAGAGAUGAAAUUCUUUGAUACCUUAAGGACUGGCAAUGGCGAAAGCGACCUUUUAUGUAAAAACUGACGUUGAGGGACGGAGGCUUGGAUAGCGAACAGGAUUAGAUACCCUAGUAGUCUUUGCAGAGAAUGAUGAAUGCCAUAGAUUAGAUAUUUUUAGUUUAUAAAUGAAAGUGUAAGCAUUCCACCUCAAGAGUAAUGUGGCAACGCAGGAACUGAAAUCAUUAGACCGUUUCUGAGAACAGUAGUGAAGUAUGUUAUUUAAUUCGAUAAUCCCGCA
rnacentral:rRNA from 1 species